rnacentral:lncRNA from 1 species
UGAAAAGCAACAAAAAAGGCAUGGGAAACCAAAAAAAAUCUCAUCAUUAUGCUCCAUUAACUUUAAUCAGAAACAACAACCCUCUUCAAUGCAUCUCUCAAUACUUGUAUCUGUCUGUCCAGUCAAGUCUAUCUUUAUUCUCUCCUUCAACACUCCCGUCUCUUCACUCCUUCAUGGCUUCCGUCCAUCUUCGAUCAGCAUCCACCGCUCCAUAUGCAUCAGAUAAGUUGUCUCCCUCUUUUUGAUUCAUUCUGUAGCUAUGAUAUGGGCAACCAUGUUAGAUUCUCUAUGGGUAAAUCGAAAGACACACGACCCAAAACCUAAACUUA